rnacentral:rRNA from 1 species
CCCAGACUCCUACGGGAGGCAGCAGUAAGGAAUAUUGGUCAAUGGCCGAGAGGCUGAACCAGCCAAGUCGCGUGAGGGAAGACGGCCCUACGGGUUGUAAACCUCUUUUGUCGGGGAGCAAAGCGAACCACGUGUGGUUCAUUGAGAGUACCCGAAGAAAAAGCAUCGGCUAACUCCGUGCCAGCAGCCGCGGUAAUACGGAGGAUGCGAGCGUUAUCCGGAUUUAUUGGGUUUAAAGGGUGCGCAGGCGGAUUUUUAAGUCAGCGGUCAAAUCGUGGGGCUCAACCCCAUCCAGCCGUUGAAACUGGGGAUCUUGAGUGGGCGAGAAGUAUGCGGAAUGCGUGGUGUAGCGGUGAAAUGCAUAGAUAUCACGCAGAACUCCGAUUGCGAAGGCAGCAUACCGGCGCCCAACUGACGCUGAAGCACGAAAGCGUGUGUAUCGAACAGGAUUAGAUACCCUUGUA